rnacentral:rRNA from 1 species
CGGACGGGUGAGUAAUGCUUGGGAAUCUGGCUUAUGGAGGGGGAUAACUACGGGAAACUGUAGCUAAUACCGCGUAGUAUCGGAAGAUGAAAGUGUGGGACCGCAAGGCCACAUGCCAUGAGAUGAGCCCAAGUGGGAUUAGGUAGUUGGUUAGGUAAAGGCUGACCAAGCCGACGAUCUCUAGCUGGUCUGAGAGGAUGACCAGCCACACUGGAACUGAGACACGGUCCAGACUCCUACGGGAGGCAGCAGUGGGGAAUAUUGCACAAUGGGGGGAACCCUGAUGCAGCCAUGCCGCGUGAAUGAAGAAGGCCUUCGGGUUGUAAGGUUCUUUCGGUGAUGAGGAAGGCGGUUGUUUUAAUAGAACAAUCGAUUGACGUUAGUCACAGAAGAAGCACCGGCUAACUCCGUGCCAGCAGCCGCGGUAAUACGGAGGGUGCGAGCGUUAAUCGGAAUAACUGGGCGUAAAGGGCACGCAGGCGGUGACUUAAGUGAGAUGUGAAAGCCCCGAGCUUAACUUGGGAAUUGCAUUUCAUACUGGGUCGCUAGAGUACUUUAGGGAGGGGUAGAAUUCCACGUGUAGCGGUGAAAUGCGUAGAGAUGUGGAGGAAUACCGAAGGCGAAGGCAGCCCCUUGGGAAUGUACUGACGCUCAUGUGCGAAAGCGUGGGGAGCAAACAGGAUUAGAUACCCUGGUAGUCCACGCUGUAAACGCUGUCGAUUUGGGGAU